CAGCACCUCAAGUGGUCAGGAGGAUUAUUGGGCCUAAAGCAUCCGUAGCCUGUUCUGUAAGUUUCCGGUUAAAUCCAUUAGCUCAACUAAUGGGCUGCCGAAAAUACUGCAGAACUAGGGAGUGGGAGAGGUAGACGGUACUCGGUAGGAAGGGGUAAAAUCCUUUGAUCUAUUGAUGACCACCUGUGGCGAAGGCGGUCUACCAGAACACGUUCGACGGUGAGGGAUGAAAGCUGGGGGAGCAAACCGGAUUAGAUACCCGAGUAGUCC
rnacentral:rRNA from 1 species